rnacentral:lncRNA from 1 species
CCCACUCCACAGCCUUUAUUUGUGAAUUAAUAUCCCUAAUUCUACUAUAGCUUUUUCUGUUUUGUUUGGUGUUUGAAAUUGGGUUUCAUGUAUCCCAGACUGGCUUCACUCACUCACUAUGUAGCUAAGUGUAGCCUUGAACUGCUGGUCCUCCCGCCUCUGCCUGUGAGUAUUGAGAUUACAAAUGGGCCCCACUCUGCCAGUUUUCACCUAGAUGCUCCAGUGUGAGCACAGAGCUACAUCCCUAGCCUCUUAUUUUAGUUUUUGUCUACCUUAAUUUGUGUGUGUGCGUGGGUGCGUGCGUGCGUGCGUGCGUGUGUUUGUGAUAGCACAUAUGUAAAAGUGGUCAUAGAACAUUUGGGAGCCAGCUCCAGGAAUGAACCAAACUUCAUCAGGUUUGUUGGAUCUUAUGUAACCCAAGACAGCCUGGAACUAUCUAUAGAGCCAUGGAUGACCUUGAAUUCCUGAUCCGCCUGCCCCUACCUCCCAAGUUCUGAGGUGACAGCAUUUCUAUGCCUGGUUCCAGAUUUUUUGUAAUAUUGAAGCCAUCUAGGAUCCCUCUACAUGGAUAGUCUUAUACGCUGUUUUCCUCUUUUUAAGUAAUUUAUUAUUUUUUUAUUUUUAUUUUAUGUACAUUGUUGUUUUGCCUGCAUGUGUGUCUAUAUGAGCUGCCGUGUGAGUUCUGGGAAUUGAAUCCAGGACCUUUGGAAGAGCAAUGCUCUUAACCACUGAGCCAUCUCUCCAGCACCCUUAUGUCCAGUUUUCUAUGACUCAUACACAGUUCACAGGGUUCUGUAAGUUCUUUGGGCUGGGGAUGAAGCUCAGUGAUGCAGUAUUUGUCUAACGUUCCCAAGGCCUGGGUUGGAUUCCCCAGACCCACAAAAAAGAAAAUUACUUGAAAUAGUUCUAGAAUUGCAGUUAUA